AAGUCGUAACAAGGUCAUCGUAGGUGAACCUGCGGUGGGAUCAUUCAAGAAACUCGGGCGCGAUUGCCGAACGGAAAAUGCGUUUUCUAGUAGGUGGUCGCAAACGAGGAAAUCCAAAUGGAAACCUUGUGUGCACUGUCGCUCUGCGAUCUCUUUUGGCGCGCAGUCGAGUUGUCGCUCGCGGGCGGCAGCCGGGCGCGCCAGAGACUUUGGCUUAAUUACGUGGUUUUGUUGUGUCUGAACUAUUAAAACAAAUGAAAAUACAACUUUCAACAACGGAUCUCUUGGCUCUC
rnacentral:misc_RNA from 1 species